CCAAGUAUGAGCUCAAUGACAAAGCAAAACAAAUGGAAGAAGAAAAUAUUGAAGAGGGACUGAAAUGAAGACAAUUGAAAGUUGGAGGACUAAAGCGCAAAUACUCAAAAGAUAUGCCGAAUGAGGGGCAUGAGAAUUGAUGGUAUCAAUCAUCAAUUGGAAGAUAAAAUUUGUUGAAAAGAUGAAGAAAUCGAAGAAAGAAGUCAAGAGAAGCAACAAAGAAGUUCAGGGACCAAAUUGAACAAACCACAUAGAUGGUUACUUCUAUGCGACCGCAUAGUGUAACCUUCUAUGCGGUCGCAUAGAAGGCUUCAGGGACUCAAUGAUCCCAAACAAUUUGAACUAUGCGACCGCAUAGAUUCCUUCUAUGCGGUCGCAUAGAAGGAUUUUUGAAUCUCGGGCGCAGUUUUUCGUUUUGGUUGAAACUCCUUUCCUACUUAAUUUGGACGCGAUAUAAAUACCAGAAUUCAUCAUAUGAAGAGCAGGAAUGACCAGGGAGAAGAGAGAGACCAAAAUUGGAGGCAAGAAACUUGAUUUUGGAUUCAAUUUCACACGGGCUCAAAACGGAUGGAAGAUUAUACACACGGAUUGAAGAAAUUCCAUACGGGUGUAUUCUUAUUAUCUUUUAAUUUCAUUUUUUUUAAUUUCUUGAUUUUGCAAUGAUGACUAUAGGCUAGG
rnacentral:lncRNA from 1 species